rnacentral:rRNA from 1 species
GACGAACGCUGGCGGCGUGCUUAACACAUGCAAGUCGAACGGUUAAUCCCUCUUUUUGUGUUUUUCUCGUUUCGCGCCCCUGUGUGUCACACGUGCCUCCCCUCCCCUUCACUUUGUUAUAUCUUCUUGAACCUGGCUCUCAUCCCUUAUUUCAUCUCCUCCUUCUUUGUGUGUCUUGGAAUCUUUCGGCGGUUGGGUUUGGACUCGCUGCUUUUCAGUUUUUUGGUGGGGUAGUGGCUUACCAAGGCUUUGACGGGUAGCCGGCUUGAGAGGGUGACCGGCCACAUUGGGACUGAGAGACGGCACAGACUCCUACGGGAGGCAGCAGUGGGGAAUAUUGCACAAUGGGCGGAAGCCUGAUGCAGCAACGCCGCGUGCGGGAUGAAGGCCUUCGGGUUGUAAACCGCUUUCGGCUGUGACGAAGCGUGAGUGACGGUAAUGGGAAAAGAAGCACCGGCUAACUACGUG